UUUUACUGAUAAAUUUAGCAGAUUUGAAGAGCUUGGAGUCUUAAAACUGUAGCUUACAAAUAGUUAUGUAGACAAAGUGUCUGACUCUUAAAAAAAACUGCAAUUUACACAGGAGGAAAAAUGCUGCAGUAUCAAAGGAAAGCUGUUCCCUGUUCUUCCUUUAGCUAAUUUCCUGAUCUGUUCACUGUUCUCAUUGCACUGCCUUGGGAAAAAGUGGCAGGGCAAUCUGAGAUGCUGGCCUGUUAAACUGCUUGCCUUCCAUUCUUUUACUUUGCAGCAGUUUCCAUAAAAAUUAAGCAGUUUAAAGUCAAUAGAAUAUGAGUCUAAUGCAACUAAUCAUCUGAAUUUUAUUCAUACUAUUACUUUUAGUGCCUGCUAAAAGAUGGACUGCUCUUAUCAUCUUGAGCUCUCUCACGGGGUUUGCUGUGUGCUGACAAUGAGAGCUGCUGUCCAGAUGACCUGUCAAACCUGCCAUCCUCGGGACACUGCUGGAGAUAGGGAAAGCUAACCGACAGCUAUUGUUAAGUGGUGGGAUUGAAGCAAGGUUCCUAGUUCUAAGUGAGAAAAGAGGUUGACUUAAACACAGCGAGCGUAUGGAUCUUUACAGAAGGCACUGUCUUUUUCCCAUUAUCUGUGAUGACUGAGAACUCCUUGCAUAUGUCUGAACUGUAUGGCCAAAUUGAGAUUAUUGUUUUUAUAUCCUUUGGAGCCACCAAUCACACUACGAAAAAGAGCUGUGGGUUUGCACAUGCUGCACCAUUUGACUUCAGUGGAGCUGAUUCAGCCUGGUGAUAGCUAUCAUACUGUAUAUUCAGAAUGACCAGAUAUCCUGCUAAAGAAAUUCACCAAUCCUGUCUCCAGUCUCCACCGAACAUUAGGGAGAAUGCAUGUCAUGAAGGAAAAUCACUGAAUCAUGGAAAGUACAUGUCCCUCACAAAACGUGUGUGCAAUGCUUUUAUGACAUAGAAAGACAUGAACAGGGCCUGCAAGAUCAUGGAUCCUUCUGCUUUUUGCAACAUAAAAGACCUGAUCUAACUUAUAUUUUGCUGUAGGACUGUUGGGUAAUAAGGUGGGAGAGAAUUAACUCUUGGUUUAUAUGAAUGCUCUUAAUUAAUUGUUCUUGGUACUAUAUGGGCUCAUCUGCUCACUACCUCGCUGUGUCCCAAGGCUGAUGGCUUAGUCUGUCAGGAGGAAGACAGAAGGUUCUGACAAGUCAUGGAUUUUGGUAUGUUUUCUAACAAGCUCUACCUAGUUCCUCCUCCAUGGAUCUACAGAUUCACCUUAUAUCCAAAUCUACUCUAAAUCCCGUGCUUUACAUACCAUGGAUACAUGUCCAUUCUUCUCCUUGUCACAUUUAAAACUGGUUUUUCUCAGUUCCAGGGGUUGCAUUCCUUUGGUAGAGCAGUAAAUAACCAUUGAUGACAUCGUUUUUAGGCCUGGAGCAUCACAUGCAGCCCCGUAGUUAUGUUUACAAGUCAAUUCUACAUGGGAUAAAUGCUUGUUAUUGGUACGUGUUAGUUAUAAAUAAUUGUAAACAGUAGUAUAUCAUGCUAUGUGUACAAGCUAGGCAAAAGAAAUACCUUAUUCUGUACGUAGUCUGUUAUUUCAUUGACUGUGAUUUAAGUGAUUUAAUUAUGCAUGUUGAUAGAGCUUUCUGUUGAGUAAAUGCAGGAGGUAAUAGUGCUGAGAACAGUGCUUCCUCCAGCAGCCACUACUGCUCUUUUAUUUUAGAAAUAACUGCAUUUGUACAUGAACUUAUUACAUCGUUGUAACUUCAAAAGUUCAUGUAGAUGUUUGGAAUGGGUGAUUUUCUUU
ensembl:lncRNA